rnacentral:rRNA from 1 species
UACGUAGGGCGCAAGCGUUGUCCGGAAUUAUUGGGCGUAAAGAGCUCGUAGGCGGUCCGUCACGUCUACCGUGAAAACCCGAGGCUUAACCUCGGGCCUGCGGUGGAUACGGGCGAACUAGAGGUAGGUAGGGGAGAACGGAAUUCCCGGUGUAGCGGUGAAAUGCGCAGAUAUCGGGAGGAACACCGGUGGCGAAGGCGGUUCUCUGGGCCUUACCUGACGCUGAGGAGCGAAAGCGUGGGGAGCGAACAGG